rnacentral:rRNA from 1 species
GAUGAACGCUGGUGGCGUGCCUAAUACAUGCAAGUCGAGCGAACAGACGAGGAGCUUGCUCCUCUGACGUUAGCGGCGGACGGGUGAGUAACACGUGGAUAACCUACCUAUAAGACUGAGAUAACUUCGGGAAACCGGAGCUAAUACCGGAUAAUAUAUUGAACCGCAUGGUUCAAUAGUGAAAGACGGUUUUGCUGUCACUUAUAGAUGGAUCCGCGCCGCAUUAGCUAGUUGGUAAGGUAACGGCUUACCAAGGCAACGAUGCGUAGCCGACCUGAGAGGGUGAUCGGCCACACUGGAACUGAGACACGGUCCAGACUCCUACGGGAGGCAGCAGUAGGGAAUCUUCCGCAAUGGGCGAAAGCUUGACGGAGCAACGCCGCGUGAGUGAUGAAGGUCUUCGGAUCGUAAAACUCUGUUAUUAGGGAAGAACAAAUGUGUAAGUAACUAUGCACGUCUUGACGGUACCUAAUCAGAAAGCCACGGCUAACUACGUG